CUGGCUAGGUGGUUUAGUCAGUGGGCCCACCACGGAUCUACUUUUUGAUCCUUGAAGUAUUUCUUUUCGAGAUAGUCAUAUAUAAUAUAAAAUUAUUGCUCUAUAUGCUAAAAUUUCUAGUAAGAUCUGAGCUCCUUCGCCAGAGCUAUGGCACCUUUAUUGUCACAUUAUAGUUGUGCCAUCUGAUGACGUUACACAAAAUUCUGCAAUGGACCUAUUUAAAUCAGAAGACUUUCUCAGCAGCCUUAGA
rnacentral:lncRNA from 1 species